GACGAACGCUGGCGGCGUGCUUAACACAUGCAAGUCGAACGGAAACGCCCUGCUUUUGUGGGCUGCUCUAGUUGCGACCGGGUGAGUUACACUUGAGUUCCCUGCCCUUGACUUUGGGAUAACUUCAUGAAACUUGGUCUCAUACCGGCUAGGAUCUCCUGCUUCUUGGUGGGGGUUGGAUAGUUUCGGCGGUUGGUGAUGGACUCGCGGCGUAUCAGCUUGUUGGUGGGGUAGUGGCUUACCAAGGCUUUGACGGGUAGCCGGCCUGAGAGGGUGACCGGCCACAUUAGGACUGAGAUACGGCCCAGACUCCUACGGGAGGGAGCAGUGGAGAAUAGUGCACAAUGGGCGGAAGCCAGAUGCAGCAAAGCCGCGUGCGGGAUGAGGGCAAUCGGGUUGUGAUCCGCAUUCGCCUGUGACGAAGCGUGAGUGACGGUAAUGGGUAAAGAAGCACCGGCUAACUACGUG
rnacentral:rRNA from 1 species